rnacentral:lncRNA from 1 species
CCAGCAGCAGCCAACACACGGCAGCACCCACAGAGUCAACAGCCGUUCCCAUCUCCACCCGACAAACCCAGCAGACCCGAACCGGCCACCAGCUGCUGCACAGCCAUCGCCGCCCAAACGCCAGACCUGCCACCCAAAGCAGAGGAGAAGACGAAACCCACAACAAAUUGACCCGCCGUGUAGUCGAAGAAGGAGAAGGGAGAGAAGCCGAUCUGGACCAAAAAGAAAAAAUUAAAAUCAACUGCUGUUGUGCGUUGUUUCUCCUUGUUGCAGGUGACGGUGACCUUCACCGCCGACGUAGGGAGACAGAGAAGAAGAAGAGGUUCCCGAUCCACCGGUUUCUGCCACCUUCAUCGGCGGCGGCGCGUGGAACCACGCGCCGCCAGUGACGCCACUGUUCUGGCAGCUCCAGAAGUCGGCCUGACACUGUUCCGGGUUGUUUGGUUCAUUUUGUAAUUUUCAAAUUGUUUAAUGUAAUAUUUGUGUAAUUUUGAGUUUUUUUUUAUAAUUUGUACUUUGUGUAAAUGUGGAGGAAAAAGAAAAAAAGAAAAGAAAAGAAAAGAAAAGAAAAAAACAAAUAUUAAUAGAAAAAGAGUUGUGCGUGUUUUGUUUUUUUGUUAUGUAUAUUAUUGAAUAAAAAGAAAAAAAAUGAAUUUAAUUUAUAUGCACAAAUAUCUAAAGGACAGAUAAAAAUCAUGUUGUAUUUUCCAUAAAAAUGUAGAACAUGUAUCUACAUAUAUUUUGGGAACUAAUAACUGAUUUAUCAAAGCCUUAGAAUUGGGCUAAAAUUUUAUUUUUAAAACGCAUCAAGUCCACGAAGCAGCUUACCUCAGGUAGGGUGCGUUAGGGGUGCGAAUACCUUCCCUAACCACAACCAGUCCCUUACCCGCGAAUCUUUGACAAGACCAGUACAUCAGGUUUCCUAGUAGCCCUCAAUAAAUUACUAGGUGGCGACCCCAACGAACCAAGCAAGCAAAACACAUAACAACAGAAAAAUCGCCAGCAGAUGCCGCGCGGAUUUUGACGUGCGACAGAAUGGCGACUCCACUGGGGAAGGUAUUGUUUCUGAUGAUAUUGGACUAAGCUUUGUGUAUUUGAUGUGUUUAUGUUUUGCAUUUUUGUCUUGUUUUAUUUUUGUUUUAUUCAUGCAUUUUGUAGAAUUGUCUCAUGCAUCACAUAUUUUAAUUUUUUUAAAGCACACACAAGCUUCAGGUUAGGAGGGGGACUAGCAGCUUACCUUAUGACUUUUAGUCAAGGUUUAAGUUUGUGUAAACCCCAACUCUUCGUUGAGUGCUUAGACUGGUAAUAGUUGGACAUGUGCCAUCUCAUUGCCUACAAGCCCCCAUAUUGCCUCCACGAGGGCAAUCACUGGGACAACAAGAGACCCUUUUUAGAGACCAAGUAAUAAACCUACCUUUUGUCUCACUUAAAAAAUUAGAACCUGCCUUUAGGAUGUGUGCUCCGUAUAUAUUGUUUUGCAUCAGGGCAAACCCUUCUUGAAGCAUCUUGAACUCAAGACUUUUGGGUGACCCAAUGGCCGUCACUUAGAAAAUUUUCAUUGUAGAGUUUGGGCAAGAAUCAAGAUUCUUGUUUCAUCAUACAAGAGUUACGACCAUAUGUCACCCCUCGAAGGGCGAGUUCAUCAUAUAGUUUACAUGUCCAUACAUUUAUCAUGCAUGUACCGGGUUGAAAGAUAGGUUCUCCCACACAAGUUGUGCUACGCGCGAAUGAAGAAAGAUGAUAGAAGCAAAGAAAGUUGUCGGAGAAAGGCUCAUUGUCAAAAGGAAGUUGAGAGCAUCAGAGGUGAAGUAGCCAGAAUCAGAUAUGCUUGAUCAAGUGUAGAGCAUCAAAGGGAAAGGGAAUGUCUACACAGUCUUCUGUGGGAACACUGCUUGUCCAUGUCUCAUUGAAGUUACAUCUCCAUUUUAGUCCUGAACAACAACAGCAAUGCCUUCAGUCAUCAACUAAGGACAACUUUGGUUCUUGUUCAGUUGCACUGCUAAUUGUUCAUCGCCUCCAUAUCUUUCAAUGACACCAAAUAAUUGCUAGCCUUCUGUGCAUGGUGCAUUAGUCUUCUUUGAAGUUACCCCAACUGUUAGCUCAAUUCCAGUUCAGCGGCACAAGAUGUAAAAAAAAAAACAAAAAAAAAACAAAAAAAAAACCCCGAAAAAAAAACUGAAAAAAAAAACCAUGAUUCGACCCUGAACUUCUACGUUGCAGAGCUCUCUCUGUAGAUAUUUCUUUAUGGAUCUGCAAGUGGGGAAUGCAAGAGGGGAUGUAGUAUUUUCAUAUGCUACAAAAAUUCGCCCCAUCAAUUUCAGAACCGAAACACUGGAGUAGGCAGAAGGGUCACACCUGGUCUGAAAACAUGAGCCGUCAUUAAACUUCAACGCGGCAGAGCUCUCUCUACAAAAAUCCGUUUGUGGCUCUGCAAGUAGGGAAUGCAAGAGGGGAUGCAGUACUUUCAUAUGCUACAAAACUUUGGCUCAUCAGUUUCAGCACUGAAACACUGGAGUAGGCCGAAGAGUCAGACCUAGUCUGAAAACAUGAGCAGUCGUCGAACUUUGACGUGUCAGAGCUCUCUCUACAAAAACCCGUUUGUAGCUCUGCAAGUGGAGAAUGCAAGAGGGGAUGUAGUAGUUUCAGAAAAUGUGAAAAUUUAUGCCACCAGUUUCCGCAUCGAAACACUGUAGUAGGCAGAAAAGCCAGACUUGAGCUAGAAAACAGGAGCAAAUAUAGAACUUCACCGUGGCAGAGCUCUCUCUGCAGAAACCUGUUUGUAGAUCUGCAAGUGGAGAAUCCAAGAAGGGAUGCAGCAGUUUCUGAUCAUCUAUAAUUUUCUCUCAUCGGUGUUAGCUUGAAAAUGCAAAAGAAGGGAAAAGAGACAAACCUCGGCUGAAAAAUAGAAAGAAGAUUGAAACUUCAACAGAGCAGAGCUCCCUCUACAGGUGUCUGUUUGCUGCACCAUCAGUGAGGAAUCAAAGAGGAGACAAAGGAGUUUUAGAUUCAUCAAGUUCUCUUCCAGUUUUGACAAUGUGUGAUUCCACACGUCGGCAGUGGCAAUGCUGCAAGUCUCCGGGUGCUGCCAAGAUUACCUAGCUGUUGGAAGGUUUCCAACAAUCCACAAACGACCACAACAACAGGGGAAGAUUGACAUGAUGUUGUGAAGAUUGUCAAAAGAAUUGAACAAGCUAUAAAGAGAGGAAAGAUUGAAGGUUUUGCCAUGGAUUCCAGAACUAUGAAGAGAGUUGAAUCAGAAGAUGACUCUCAAUUGAGAAACCUCAGUUAUUUUGCCUAGUCAAGUCUCGCUCAAGCAUCAACUACUCCAAUGUCUCUGCCAAAGAUAGUCAUUCCUUUGCCAUGUGGGUUUAUUUACCAGCAUCUGCCAGAUUCCAGACUUUUUCCUGACUCCGACAAAACCCAUGCAACCACCGUUUUCUAGGUGGUAUAAUCCAGACAAGAGAUGUGAUGUCAUGGUGGGGUCCUUAGCCAUUUCAAUUGAAUAAUUGCAAGAAUCGAGUCCGCAAAUUGGUGAGCAAAAGACGAGUGGAGUUUGCGAAGGAGGGUGUCAUUGGCUAAAUUGUCGCUAGAACAUCCUCAGAAUGACGAGUGAUCGGAAUUGCUUGGCAAAACAGAGAUAUUGCCAAAGAGGCUGAUCUAAGAAGGGGUUAAACUGUCAAUCAUUUUUGUUAUGAAUUUUUGCCAUUCUGCAUUUUGUUUCGGGAUCACAUCUCCUCCUUGAACGAAACAUGUCUUUCCUUUGUCUUCCUGUUGUUUUGAAAUCAAGAGAUGCUUCUUUCAAAGGGUAUUUUUACAAAAUAUUUUGAUCAAGCUCCAACAUGCGAUUAAGAUUAAUCAAUCCUGAAGAUUAAAAGUAUUUUGAUUGCAGAAAUAACUUGAUGCUUGAAAAUGACAUGAGGUGACCAAACAAUUUUUGAACUCAUACUUCCUGAAACUGAACCACACAUCAUAUAGCUAGUUUUAGCAGUAUGCAUAAUGACAUGUAGUGGAUUCAAUAGUUAUGGACUCGUGAAUCAUGAUUCUUACAAGUCCAAAUCAUUGCACUGGAUGAGGUCAAAAUUUAUCGAUUCUAACCGACCUUGCUUGAAAUGAGAAAAGGCCAUCUUUGUUAUACUUUCACAUUUCUUGAAAUAUUAUCCCUUGCAGUCCCAUUUUGAGCCUGGUAAAGUAUUUUCUUUCAAAAAGAAACCCUGACUAGGAUCACACCCUACAUUGGGGAAAAAUGAGAGAUAUUUUGAAGACACUGAUUGGACUAAUGGAUAAAAGAAAGGCUUAGAACAAAAGUCAAAUGAUUGAGAAAGGGCUAGAAGAAUAAAAGCCAUAGAUUGAGGGCCAUCCAAGAAAACUUUGAGGAAGGCUGUGAGAAAGCAAAAAAAAAAAGAAAAGAAAAAAAAGAGAUUGAAAAAAGAAGAAGUUGAAUCUGCCUUCACUUAAAGGCAAGUCAAAGAUAAAGGAAGGAGAAUGCCUAUCAAUUCUAAGAGUGGCAAAAGAGGUUUCAAUUGAAGAAAGACACAACAAAUGCCAAAAGUCAACACUAAAAAAAUCAAGUUUCAUGUUUUUUGGUGUGUCUAGGAUAAAGCCUUUAGUGUCUUUAAAAAAAAAUUUUUAGAUUGAUUAUUCAUCAUAGAAAAAGUUGGAUUUACAUUAUGACCUAUGUUAAGAGAAUUCUGAUCUUUGAGAUUAACAAGGUUAUAUGUCACUUUCUCCACAAUGACAACAAGAAAGAGAGUUGAUGAAUAGUUGAUGUUGAUCCUAAGUCUUUGAAAUCCUCAAACACUUUUUGAGCUUGUGAAAUUCCUUUCUUUCAUAGCCAUGAACCAUAGCUUGCAUUAUGUGCUUUUAAAAGCCCUUUUUAAUCAAGUAAGCAAUCUGAACCGAUAAAUGGCGAUCUCAAAACUUGAAGAGUUUUCCAUAAGAGUCAUAGCUUCAUGGAUUAAGCUAAUGGUUAUUAUGCAUGCUGAUAAAAUUGGUGUUAAAAAAAAAAAACAAUCUUUCUUGAUAAGUCCUCAAGUUUUGACUUGUGUCUUUUGUUUUUUGAAAUUCACAGAAGGUCACCUCAUCAUAGACCAUCAAAAGAUAUACCCGAAAUCAGAGUCUAAAAUGGAUACAAAGAACCAUGAAAAAAAAAACCAUUUUAGUCUUACAAUGGGUCAAUUUCUGUUUUCAAAAUACAUGACAAUCAAAGGACUGUAUAUUUCGAAUAACGUGUGUUGGAUCUUUGACCGAAGAAACUUGAUUUUCAAAAACUGACAUCUCUCUGAUUUCAUUUCAACAAUUAGACUUGAAUUGACAUGAUCUUUGAAAUAUGAGAGUUGAUUCCAGAACAAGAAAGAUUGUUAAACAACAAGAACAUCGACCGAAUUUGCAAAAUCCUUGACAAGAAUGACAUCAACACUUCUUGACACUCCUUGAAAAGUUGACCACCUGGAGGCAAUACAGUGGAUCAUGGGUAGGAAAACAAGCAGUAUUUAGAUCAGCUGGGGGCAAUUAAAGAUGAUCAAAUGAUGAAUCAAUGCACUAAGGACAAUAGUGUUUAAAGAAAGCUAAUCAGCAGGACAAACAUUCAGAUCAUUACUGGGGGCAAUGUUGUUCAAAGAUAGUCCAUGAUCUAGUGAACCCCGUCAACAAUCGGGAAAGCAAAGAUACACUUCAAGGAAAUCUUUUGAAACAUGGCUAUCGACCGAUGUGGGCAUACAGUUGCAUUCGAACGAAUAUGAAAAGAUGCACACCACCAAGAUUGAUUGCGGAACAAUGUUGUACUUGAAGGAUAAUGUCAUAUUAUCAUCUCCAACUUGGCUAUGACUUUUGAACGAUGUUAUCGCAUAGUUGUGAAUAUUGGAAGGAUGCACUCACCAAGACUGACUGUGGGACCAUAUGUUUUGGAGCUCAAUGCGCACUUCACCGUAUGAAUAUGGGUGAUAACAUGAACAUCAUUGAUGAUGUCGAGACAUUUCUUUUCACUAUCUGAUUUGACAAGCUGAGAGAAAUCCAUGAGAAAGAACAUUGAGCAUACAACGAUGAGUCUUUCACUGCAAGCUAUGAGAUGCAUGUCUGGACGAUUGGAUAAUUUCCAUGAAGACUGGUGAUAACAUUACUUGAAGAGUAUUGUUUCAGCUUGAGGCAAGUUUAUGACUGAUGGACAAUCAUGAUGGGUGUUGGCAUGAUGCACACAACCAAUCAGAGGAUAAUUCUUAGAAGAAUCCAGGAGAGAAAAUCCUUCACGAUGAAUCAAGCAACACCACACUUGGGGGCAGAGUCAAGCUUGAUAAACCACAAGAGCAGUAACCGUUGAAGACAGCCUAGAUUGGGCACUGCACUUACAACUGAGUGGAUGGCUAGCACAUGAAUGAGUCAGUACAUGGGAAGGACAAAUAAAGCUUUGGAAUGCAAACAAAGGCACCCUGUGAUGAUGGAACAUCGAAGAGAGGGGACCUAUAUUUCACAUCAGGUAAGGAUGCAUGCAUGUCAUCUAACCUCAAAGCAUUGCACAUACUUAUGAUUUGUUACAGAAAGAUCCUCAAUGAAGUCCAGCAAGAUUGUGGACAAAGAAAGAAUCAUUGAGUUGAUAACAGAGAAUCAUGGUUGUGACCUUGAAACGGGAAGAAGAUGAGAUAAACCUUACUGUUAGGAAAAUCUCAAAGAAAUGAAAAGAUCAACCUUGCAAUCAGGAAGCAUCGAGUUUUCAAACCCUGCGAUCAAGAAUUAUCAAGAAGCACCAAGUUUUCUGGCCCUUCUUCUAUCAUCCCUUCAGGACUUCGCCAGGUAAGUCCCAUUUCUCACACUUGUCACAUCACAUCUUUCAUUUGGGUAGGUCACCCAUAACAAUGAGACCACUUCAUAUUUUUUCUAUCCUCCACCUGGGUAGGUCACCCAUAACAAUGAGACCACUUCAUAUUUGUUCUAUCUUCCAUCUGGGUAGGUCACCCAUUAUAACGCGACCACUUCACAUUUUUUCUAUCUUCCAUCUGGGUAGGUCACCCAUAACAAUGAGACCACUUCACAUUUUUUCUAUCUUCCACCUGGGUAGGUCACCCAUAACAAUGAGACCACUUCACAUUUUUCUAUCUUCCAUCUGGGUAGGUCACCCAUUACAAUGAGACCACUUCAUAUUUUUUCUAUCCUCCACCUGGGUAGGUCACCCAUAAUAAUGAGACCACUUCAUAUUUGUUCUAUCUUCCAUCUGGGUAGGUCACCCAUUAUAACGCGACCACUUCACAUUUUUUCUAUCUUCCACCUGGGUAGGUCACCCAUUAUAACGCGACCACUUCACAUUUUUUCUAUCUUCCACCUGGGUAGGUCACCCAUUAUAAUGAGACCGCACUUCACAUUCUUUCCAUUUGGGUAGGUCACCCAUCAUAAUGAGACCGUUUUCCAUCAUUUUUUCUUGGGUUCGUCACCCAUACAAUGAGACCAUCAUUUUUUUUCUUGGGUUCGUCACCCAUACAAUGAGACCAUCAUUUUUUUUCUUGGGUUAGUCACCCAUACAAUGAGACCAUCAUUUUUCUGGGGUUCGUCACCCAUACAAUGAGACCACCAUUUUUCUGGGGUUCGUCACCCAUACAAUGAGACCACCAUUUUUCUGGGGUUCGUCACCCAUACAAUGAGACCAUCAUUUUUCUUGGGUUCGUCACCCAUACAAUGAGACCAUCAUUUUUCUUGGGUUUGUCACCCAUACAAUGAGACCAUUUGUUCCACAUUCUUUGUUUUGGUUUAAUGAGGUCGCCAGAUGAGAUCUCAUGUAGCUUUGGUUAAAGGGAAUCGCCAGAUGGGAUUUCAGGUUAACCGAGUUACGUCACAUUUUUUAGUUCCAGUUGAAUGAGGUUGCCAGAUGGAAUCUCAUGUAGCUUUGGUUAAAGGGAAUCGCCAGAUGGGAUUUCAGGUUGACCGAGCUACCACACAUUUUUUAGUUCCAGUUGAAUGAGGUUGCCAGAUGGAAUCUCAUGUAGCUUUGGUUAAAGGGAAUCGCCAGAUGGGAUUUCAGGUUGACCGAGCUACCACACAUUUUUUUAAGUUCAAGUUGAAUGAGGUCGCCAGAUGGGAUCUCAUGUAGCUUUGGUUAAAGGGAAUCGCCAGAUGGGAUUUCAGGUUGACCGAGCUACACACAUUCUUUGGUUUUGAAAAAGAAGAUCGCCAGAUGGGAUCUCAAGUUAACGAAAAAAAAGAAAAAGAAACAUUUAGAGUUUUUCUUUACAAAGCUUACUAUGCGAAACAUUGAGGAGUUUUGCUUCGUAAGCAUUGUAAAGAGGGGGCAUCUGUUGCUACCCAAUUUUUGACCCAUGUUUUGAUAAAUUUUUUAAAAAAUCCAAAAAUAGCGAAAAACAUUGAAAAUCCAAAAAAAUACAUUUUUAAUACAUUUGCAUCGUUUUUAGCAUUUUUAGCAUCAUCUUAAAAGAAUUUAAAUUUUCAACGACAUUUGGAACGCGUUCAACUUUUAACGCGUUAUUUUUAAAAUCAUUGAUUUUCUUCAUUGAGUCGACGUUGAUAUUGCUCGUUUUCAAAAAUACAAAAAAAUUAAGAAAAAUCAAAUUUUACAAAAAAGAAAGAAAGUUGAGGGACCAAUUUUGAGAUCCAUGCAACAUUUUACCUAUAAAUACUGGUUCACAACUCAAACAAAAGGGGGGGGGUAAUUUUGAAAUUUGAGGGGAGAGGCAACACAAAAACAGAAACCCUAAAAGCCUAAUUUUUUCUCCCCUCACGGGGGAGGCAGCCGCCAGCCCCCCACCGUUUGAUUUUUCUCUUCUCCCUCACCGAAAGAGAGAGCCGCCAGCCCCCCCUGGAUUAUUUUUCUCUUCUCCCUCAACCGGACAACCGAUCUUCCCCACCCUCACAAAUCAGCCUCACCGAAACCCACUGACCAGACGAUUUUCCUCCUCCCCUUGUCCUCUGCCAAACACAAACCAGGCCACACCCUUCUUCCCCUCACAGGAGCUAAACCUUCACCCAGCCAUACUCUCCCCUCAUCUCACCAGGGCUGUUCCUUCACAGCCGGUUUUCCCUCAGCCACUGUGAACGCCAUCUCCAGCCGCUCCCCCAUUUCAACAGAUCUUCCCUCUCAGCUGCUCCCUUCUCCAGCCGCCAGCUCGCCAGACCAAAAGGAGGGCAGAGCCGUUCCCCUUCGUUCUCCCCUCUCGUCGGCCGCCUCCUCAUCUUCCCCGAUCUCUUCAUCUCCAUCAACACCGAAGCUUCAUCCAGCAGCAGCCAACACACGGCAGCACCCACAGAGUCAACAGCCGUUCCCAUCUCCACCCGACAAACCCAGCAGACCCGAACCGGCCACCAGCUGCUGCACAGCCAUCGCCGCCCAAACGCCAGACCUGCCACCCAAAGCAGAGGAGAAGACGAAACCCACAACAAAUUGACCCGCCGUGUAGUCGAAGAAGGAGAAGGGAGAGAAGCCGAUCUGGACCAAAAAGAAAAAAUUAAAAUCAACUGCUGUUGUGCGUUGUUUCUCCUUGUUGCAGGUGACGGUGACCUUCACCGCCGACGUAGGGAGACAGAGAAGAAGAAGAGGUUCCCGAUCCACCGGUUUCUGCCACCUUCAUCGGCGGCGGCGCGUGGAACCACGCGCCGCCAGUGACGCCACUGUUCUGGCAGCUCCAGAAGUCGGCCUGACACUGUUCCGGGUUGUUUGGUUCAUUUUGUAAUUUUCAAAUUGUUUAAUGUAAUAUUUGUGUAAUUUUGAGUUUUUUUUUAUAAUUUGUACUUUGUGUAAAUGUGGAGGAAAAAGAAAAAAAGAAAAGAAAAGAAAAGAAAAGAAAAAAACAAAUAUUAAUAGAAAAAGAGUUGUGCGUGUUUUGUUUUUUUGUUAUGUAUAUUAUUGAAUAAAAA